AUACGGAGGGUGCAAGCGUUACUCGGAAUCACUGGGCGUAAAGCGCGCGCAGGCGGCUAUUUAAGUUGGAUGUGAAAGCCUACGGCUCAACCGUAGAACUGCACCCAAAACUAUUUAGCUAGAGUGUGAGAGAGGAAGAUGGAAUUAGUUGUGUAGGGGUAAAAUCCGUAGAGAUAACUAGGAAUACCAAAAGCGAAGGCAAUCUUCUGGAACACUACUGACGCUGAGGCGCGAAAGCGUGGGGAGCAAACAGAAGUAGAAACCCUAGUAGUCC
rnacentral:rRNA from 1 species